AAUGGCUGUCCGCAACUAACCACUGCGCUGUGGUAACAUAACUAAAUUUCAACAGAAAGCAACAUGAAAAACAGCUGCAGGCAUCCGACACUCUACGCUCGUUAGUUAGUGAGCGUCAAAUGAGGCUUACCGUUCAGUUUCUCUGGACUGUCCCUCAGGAUCACAACUUUAGUCCAUCAUCGCAGAGCCUGCUAGCCACAUUAGCCGCACAAUAUGCUAACGCCAAGUUAGCUAACCUUUAAAAUAAACAGUAAAACAACACAAAACACGGCAACACUUACAGCUUCAGAGUUCGAAGUCGGGUCACGUACAGCCCAGGGCGAUCCAUCCUUUAACCGUUACAGAGCUUGUUACGGUUGUGGAACUUUUGAAGCACUCAUUUAUUAAUUUAGCACGCCCUGAAGUGCACAGUAUGAACAUUGCGGUUGUUGCGGUGAUUGCCAUCCUCCGCGGUAGGCUUGACCAAUAGCGCGGUAUUUAAAUUUUGCGGUUAUCGCGACACCCCUAUUCAAGUCCUAAUUCUUGUGAUUUUGAUAUCUUCAACUGUUCUUUCCUCUCUUGUUUAUGCUCCCAGAGAUCACCCAUUAAUCACACUGAAUGGGUCCGCUGCGCCUCAAAAGGACAGACGCUGCUUUGCCAUUCUGCAGCAGCGUGUCAACAUGACUCUCUGUCCAACAGAGCAGAAAAAGGGGUCCAGUCCAUAUCCUGUCUGACUGGCAUGUCGCUCACAUUGCAUGGAUGGAAGGAGUGAGAAGGGAGUUAUGCUUGUAAAACCAAUGCAGACAUCUGUGUGGAACAUGGAGAGUUGUUUCAGAAGGCAGAUCUGAUUUGCAGGUCAAGCCUGUAUAUGACUGCCUAGGUCCUGGCUCACCUGCUUUGCAAACUUUGAACAUUUUGAGACUGAGACACAGUUGGAGGCUCUUUAUCUGUAUGCAGGGGCUACACUAUGAGCACUGCAAAAGAUGACAGCCUUGACAUUUAUUUUAGUCGGUAUCCUGAUUUUUAGUCCAUUCACAAUUAAUAUACAAUUUUGCUGAGUUUCAUGUAAAGGUUUUCCUCAUAAUUACUGUUGCUGAAUCUUACUGUGUGUUAAGAGAGAACAUAAGCUAAAUUUUAGAGGCAUAAUUUCAAACAAAGUCAAUGGAAAUACAGUAUGCCGAUGCCUUCAGUGAAAUGCAGCUCGUGUUCCACUGGCACAUAUUGUUUCGUAAUGGCAUGUACAACAGUAGUACAGAACUACAACAGUAUAAGCAGCUAAAAGUAGUUGGAGUAUCAAAAAUUAAAAUACUCAUUAUGCAGAAAGAUCCUGUUAAAGUUACAUUUUCUAUUCUUGGAUGUCUGUUACUGCUAAAUAGCUGUUUUGUAUGUAAAAACUUGAUAUUGUAUUAAAUCGACCUGCCUGA